UAUCGGUUAGUUAUGAUAGAUUGAUAGAUAAUGUUGUUCCGUUUUUCGGUAUCUACAUUUGGACAGUUUGUAUUGGAAUGGCCAUAACUUUCUGUUCAGUAAUCAGAAUGUCAAUCUGCUUCUGGGUGGGAAAGAGGACUCUAUCAGUUAUCCAAUGGUAUAUUGCAAGUCCUCUGGAGAUAAGUAGCUUGGCAGAAAAUGGCUCCAAAGUUCUGACCGAGUUUUGCAGGAUGCAUAGCAGCUGGAGAUUUAGGAAAAUAGUCAGUAUUGGAAUGGCCAUAACUUUCUGCUCAAUGAUCAGAAUAUUGAUCUGUUUUCUAGGUUGGAAAUAGGACUCUCUCAU
rnacentral:lncRNA from 1 species